rnacentral:rRNA from 1 species
UACGUAGGGGCCUAGCGUUGUCCGGAAUUACUGGGCGUAAAGGGCUCGUAGGUGGCCAACUAAGUCGGACGUGAAAUCCCUCAGCUUAACUGGGGAACUGCGUCCGAUACUGGAUGGCUUGAGUUUGGGAGAGGGAUGCGGAAUUCCAGGUGUAGCGGUGAAAUGCGUAGAUAUCUGGAGGAACACCGGUGGCGAAGGCGGCAUCCUGGACCAACACUGACACUGAGGAGCGAAAGCCAGGGGAGCAAACGGG